UACGUAGGGUGCAGGCGUUAAUCGGAAUUACUGGGCGUAAAGCGUGCGCAGGCGGUCUACUAAGACAGGUGUGAAAUCCCCCGGGCUCAACCUGGGAAUUGCGAUGGAGACUGCAAGGCUGGAGUCUGGCAGAGGGGGGUAGAAUUCCACGGUGUAGCAGUGAAAUGCGUAGAGAUGUGGAGGAACACCGAUGGCGAAGGCAGCCCCCUGGGUCAAGACUGACGCUCAUGCACGAAAGCGUGGGGAGCAAACAGG
rnacentral:rRNA from 1 species